rnacentral:rRNA from 1 species
CCUACGGGUGGCAGCAGUGGGGAAUAUUGGGCAAUGGGCGCAAGCCUGACCCAGCAACGCCGCGUGAAGGAAGAAGGCUUUCGGGUUGUAAACUUCUUUUAAGAGGGAAGAGCAGAAGACGGUACCUCUUGAAUAAGCUCCGGCUAACUACGUGCCAGCAGCCGCGGUAAUACGUAGGGAGCGAGCGUUGUUCGGAUUUACUGGGUGUAAAGGGCGUGCAGCCGGGAGUACAAGUCAGAUGUGAAAUCCCGCGGCUCAACCGCGGAACUGCAUUUGAAACUGUAGUUCUUGAGUGAUGGAGAGGCAGGCGGAAUUCCGUGUGUAGCGGUGAAAUGCGUAGAUAUACGGAGGAACACCAGUGGCGAAGGCGGCCUGCUGGACAUUAACUGACGCUGAGGCGCGAAAGCGUGGGGAGCAAACAGGAUUAGAUACCCCUGUAGUC